rnacentral:rRNA from 1 species
AACGAACGCUGGCGGCAGGCCUAACACAUGCAAGUCGAGCGCGCCCUUCGGGGUGAGCGGCGGACGGGUGAGUAACGCGUGGGAACGUGCCCUUCUCUGCGGAAUAGCCUCGGGAAACUGAGAGUAAUACCGCAUACGCCCUUUGGGGGAAAGAUUUAUCGGAGAAGGAUCGGCCCGCGUUGGAUUAGGUAGUUGGUAGGGUAAUGGCCCACCAAGCCGACGAUCCAUAGCUGGUUUGAGAGGAUGAUCAGCCACACUGGGACUGAGACACGGCCCAGACUCCUACGGGAGGCAGCAGUGGGGAAUCUUAGACAAUGGGGGCAACCCUGAUCUAGCCAGGCCGCGUGAGUGAUGAAGGCCUUAGGGUUGUAAAGCUCUUUCAGCUGGGAAGAUAAUGACGGUACCAGCAGAAGAAGCCCCGGCUAACUCCGUG